GUGGGUUAGCUCAGAGGUUAGAGCUUAGGCCUUGUGAUCCGAAGAUCCCGGGAUCGAAUCCCACUAGAGACA
rnacentral:tRNA from 1 species